rnacentral:rRNA from 1 species
UCGGGAAUCUUGCACAAUGGGCGAAAGCCUGAUGCAGCGACGCCGCGUGGGGGAUGAAGGCCUUAGGGUCGUAAACCCCUUUUCAGCAGGGACGAAAAUUGACGGUACCUGCAGAAGAAGCCCCGGCCAACUACGUGCCAGCAGCCGCGGUAAGACGUAGGGGGCGAGCGUUGUCCGGAUUUAUUGGGCGUAAAGAGCUCGUAGGCGGUUGCGUAAGUCGGAUGUGAAAACUCAGGGCUCAACCCUGAGACGCCAUCCGAUACUGCGCUGACUUGAAUCCAGUAGGGGAGUGUGGAAUUCCUGGUGUAGCGGUGAAAGUGCGCAGAUAUCAGGAGGAACACCCAUGGCGAAGGCAGCACUCUAGGGCUGGUAUUGACGCUGAGGAGCGAAAGCAUGGGUAGCGAACCGGAUU